UACGUAGGGUGCGAGCGUUGUCCGGAAUUAUUGGGCGUAAAGAGCUCGUAGGCGGUCUGUCGCGUCGGUCGUGAAAACUUGGGGCUUAACCCUGAGCUUGCGGUCGAUACGGGCAUGACUGGAGUUCGGCAGGGGAGACUGGAAUUCCUGGUGUAGCGGUGAAAUGCGUAGAUAUCAGGAGGAAUACCAGUGGUGAAGGCGGCUUUCUGGACUGCUGCUGACGCUGAUACACGAAAGCGUGGGGAGCAAACAGG
rnacentral:rRNA from 1 species